rnacentral:rRNA from 1 species
UACGUAGGGGGCAAGCGUUGUCCGGAAUCAUUGGGCGUAAAGAGCGUGUAGGCGGCCCGGUAAGUCCGCUGUGAAAGUCGGGGGCUCAACCCUCGAAUGCCGGUGGAUACUGUCGGGCUAGAGUGCGGAAGAGGCAAGUGGAAUUCCUGGUGUAGCGGUGGAAUGCGCAGAUAUCAGGAGGAACACCUAUAGCGAAGGCAGCUUGCUGGGACGUUACUGACGCUAAGGCGCGAAAGCGUGGGGAGCGAACAGG